rnacentral:rRNA from 1 species
UACGGAGGGUGCAAGCGUUAUCCGGAUUCACUGGGUUUAAAGGGUGCGUAGGCGGGUUGGUAAGUCCGUGGUGAAAUCUCCAAGCUUAACUUGGAAACUUGCCGUGGAUACUAUCAAUCUUGAAUAUCGUGGAGGUAAGCGGAAUAUGUCAUGUAGCGGUGAAAUGCUUAGAUAUGACAUAGAACACCAAUUGCGUAGGCAGCUUACUACACGAUCAUUGACGCUGAGGCACGAAAGCGUGGGGGAGCAAACAGG